UUGGUGGAAGAAGGCCAAGUGUUUGGGAUGUUGGAAAUAACUUCCUAGCUGGCUGGCCUAAGAAAUUUUCAUAGACAAAGAGCCGUUUCAAACCAUGCAUAUCCCAGCUGUUUCGGCCUUGCUGCAUU
rnacentral:pre_miRNA from 1 species